rnacentral:rRNA from 1 species
UACGAAGGGGGCUAGCGUUGCUCGGAAUCACUGGGCGUAAAGGGUGCGUAGGCGGGUCUUUAAGUCAGAGGUGAAAUCCUGGAGCUCAACUCCAGAACUGCCUUUGAUACUGAGGAUCUUGAGUUCGGGAGAGGUGAGUGGAACUGCGAGUGUAGAGAUGAAAUUCGUAGAUAUUCGCAAGAACACAAGUGGCGAAGGCGGCUCACUGGCCCGAUACUGACGCUGAGGCACGAAAGCGUGGGGAGCAAACAGG